rnacentral:lncRNA from 1 species
AAAAGUGUAUGUGUUGCUGCUAACUUGAUGUACUGUCUUACUCUUUUAAUGACAGUUUAGUUUGAACAAAAUAAUUUUUACUUCACCAUUAUAAAGCUUUAAAUAUACCAAAUAUCCAAGAUAUUAAGUUGAAAGAGAUAUGUGUUAAAAAAACAGGAUGAACAGUGAUCCUUUUAUAUGGUUCUUUAAUGUUGGUUGCUGGUUACUAAAUUAAAUAAAAUACAAAAAGGUAUUAUACUCUUUACAACUUAGUUUUAUUAACUUU